rnacentral:rRNA from 2 species
UGGGGAAUAUUGGACAAUGGGGGGAACCCUGAUCCAGCCAUGCCGCGUGUGUGAAGAAGGCCUUAUGGUUGUAAAGCACUUUAAGCGAGGAGGAGGCUCUCUUGGUUAAUACCCAAGAAGAGUGGACGUUACUCGCAGAAUAAGCACCGGCUAACUCUGUGCCAGCAGCCGCGGUAAUACAGAGGGUGCGAGCGUUAAUCGGAUUUACUGGGCGUAAAGCGUGCGUAGGCGGCUUUUUAAGUCGGAUGUGAAAUCCCCGAGCUUAACUUGGGAAUUGCAUUAGAUACUGGGAAGCUAGAGUAUGGGAGAGGAUGGUAGAAUUCCAGGUGUAGCGGUGAAAUGCGUAGAGAUCUGGAGGAAUACCGAUGGCGAAGGCAGCCAUCUGGCCUAAUACUGACGCUGAGGUACGAAAGCAUGGGGAGCAAACAGG